rnacentral:rRNA from 1 species
AAUAUUGGACAAUGGGCGCAAGCCUGAUCCAGCCAUGCCGCGUGAGUGAUGAAGGNCUNNGGGUUNUNAGGCUCUUUCAGCGGNNNNNAUAAUGACGGUACCCGCAGAAGAAGCCCCGGCUAACUUCGUGCCAGCAGCCGCGGUAAUACGAAGGGGGCUAGCGUUGUUCGGAAUUACUGGGCGUAAAGGGCGCGUAGGCGGACUGUUAAGUCAGGGGUGAAAUCCCGGGGCUCAACCCCGGAACUGCCUUUGAUACUGGUGGUCUUGAGUUCGGGAGAGGUGAGUGGAAUUCCGAGUGUAGAGGUGAAAUUCGUAGAUAUUCGGAGGAACACCAGUGGCGAAGGCGGCUCACUGGCCCGAUACUGACGCUGAGGCGCGAAAGCGUGGGGAGCAAACAGG